rnacentral:misc_RNA from 1 species
AAAAAAAAAAAUUGGAUUGUCGUGUCGUAAGAAAAAAAAAAACGAAUUGGGGAAGAAGAAAGUUUGUUUAUUAUUUCUUUUCGAAAAAAAAAAUGUUUUUGCUCAGUUUGACUACUUUACUUGAUCAUAUUAUCAUUAUAUUUUAUCAUACUAAUUUCUAUUCUACCUUCCCCGAAAUCAUUCUUCAGGAAAUUCCAUGUAAAACAUUCCACGAAUUCC